rnacentral:rRNA from 1 species
GACGAACGCUGGCGGCAUGCCUAAUACAUGCAAGUCGAGCGAACAGAUGAAGUGCUUGCACUUCUGACGUUAGCGGCGAACGGGUGAGUAACACGUAAGGAAUCUACCUAUAAGCGGGGGAUAACAUUCGGAAACGGGUGCUAAUACCGCAUAAUAUCUUCUUCCGCAUGGAAGAAGAUUGAAAGACGGCUCUGCUGUCACUUAUAGAUGACCUUGCGGUGCAUUAGUUAGUUGGUGGGGUAAUGGCCUACCAAGACGAUGAUGCAUAGCCGACCUGGGAGGGGGAUCGGCCACAUUGGGACUGGGAAACGGCCCAAACGCCUACGGGAGGAAGCAGUAGGGAAUCUUCCGCAAUGGGCGAAAGCCUGACGGAGCAAUGCCGCGUGAGUGAAGAAGGCCUUCGGGUCGUAAAACUCUGUUAUAAGAGAAGAACAAAUUGUAGAGUAACUGCUACAGUCUUGACGGUAUCUUAUCAGAAAGCCACGGCUAACUACGUGCCAGCGGCCGCCGUAA